rnacentral:rRNA from 1 species
AUUGAACGCUGGCGGCAGGCCUAACACAUGCAAGUCGAGCGGAUGAAGGGAGCUUGCUCUUGGAUUCCGCGGCGGACGGGUGAGUAAUGCCUAGGAAUCUGCCUGGUAGUGGGGGAUAACGUCCGGAAACGGGCGCUAAUACAGCAUACGUCCUGAGGGAGAAAGUGGGGGAUCUUCGGACCUCACGCUAUUAGAUGAGCCUAGGUCGGAUUAGCUAGUUGGUGGGGUAAAGGCCUACCAAGGCGACGAUCCGUAACUGGUCUGAGAGGAUGAUCAGUCACACUGGAACUGAGACACGGUCCAGACUCCUACGGGAGGCAGCAGUGGGGAAUAUUGGACAAUGGGCGAAAGCCUGAUCCAGCCAUGCCGCGUGUGUGAAGAAGGUCUUCGGAUUGUAAAGCACUUUAAGUUGGGAGGAAGGGCAGUAAGUUAAUACCUUGCUGUUUUGACGUUACCAACAGAAUAAGCACCGGCUAACUUCGUG